rnacentral:sRNA from 1 species
UUUUAGCAGAGACAUGGUUUCACCAUGUUGAUCAGGCUGGUCUCAAACUCCUGACCACAAGUGAUCUGCCCGCCUCAGCCUCCCAAAGUGCUAGAAUUGCAGCAUGAGCUACCGUGCCCAGUCCUGGUUUUUUUAUUUUUAUUUUUUUAACAUCCUUGAAGAAGUCAUAAUACAUUCAAGACAUUUGUCUUUGUAAGUAAACUGAAACCUCCUGCCAGCUGUGGCUAGAGGGAAAACUCUGAGCUGGGCAGGACCAGAACCAUAUGAGUGGUAGAAGGAGAAAGAUGCCUGGGCCUGGGCUGAACUUAGGUUGUGGUCUCAGACCGAGGAUCCAGAGGCCAAGUUUCCAAGCUUGCCCAUCAGGAAGGUGGAGCAGUUAAGAACUCAUAUGCUAAAUGCCACCCAGUGAAGCCCAGCAGAGACCUCACUGCCCCUGCUUCUGGGCAGCAGCUAUAGUGACCAUUGGGGCCAUCACAGCGUUUAGACAGGUUUGUGCAGCAGCACAUUCCUCCCCUGGGGCUUUGACCGGGUGUGCACCAGAUUUCCUGCCAGCCUGACUGUCUUGCUUGGAUCUGCAGAGAGCCUGCUACCUAUCCAUAAACCCCCAAAAGGAUGAGACGCUAGAGACAGAGAAAGCUCAGUACUACCUGCCUGAUGGCAGCACCAUUGAGGUAGGUGGUCUGCCUUCUUUCUUCGGUCCCCUUAGGUCCAUAAAAGCUCUGGGCCCAACCAGAAUUCUCCAUCAGGGUCUGGAGUCUGGCAGGCCAGUCCCUUUACACCAAGCUUGUCCAACCCCUGGCCCAUGGGCUGCACGUGGCCUAGGAUGGCCCAACACAAAGUCGUAAACUUUCUUAAAACAUUAUGAGAUUUUUUUGCAGUUUUUUUUUUUUUUUUUUAGCUCAGCAGCUGUCAUUAGUGUUAGUGUCUAUUAUGUGUGGCCCAAGACAAUUCUUCUUCCAAUGUGGCCCAGGGAAGCCAAAAGAUUGGACACCCCAGCCUUACACCCUCUGUCUGGAGCAGCAGAGCUCCUGAGCAUGAGUGGCCCUGUCUCCUGCAGAGGAGGCAGCCAGAACUUUGCUCCCUCCCGCUAGAGGGGAGGAAGCUCCUAAGGGAUUGUCCCACAUCAGUAUGAGAUUAGGAAGUGGGAUGGUUAGUGCCAUCCUUCACCACACCUGGGCGCAGUGUACGGUGAGUUACCACUCCCUUGAACCCCCAUUGCUAGGAAGACGUUUCCAUGAGCAAAUAAAUCCAUGUAUUGAUGCCAAAGACCUCUUGGCUGGAAAUGCCAGAGCGAGAAGGAAAUACAGGAGCCUCCCCUCACUAGUUUCCAAGAGGCCUAUCUUUGUUCUUUUAAGCCCUUGACAUGUAGAGUCUGUCUUGAGCCUGGCCUUCAUAGCUACCUAGUUACUAAGUGAUGUGCAGAGGGGCGUCUUCCAUUCCCACUCCCAAAGGGACCUUGGUCCCAGCUCCGACCUCUUCAGCUGGCCCUCGUACCUGCAGAUUGGUCCUUCCCGAUUCCGGGCCCCUGAGCUGCUCUUCAGGCCCGAUUUGAUUGGAGAGGAGAGUGAAGGCAUCCACGAGGUCCUGGUGUUCGCCAUUCAGAAGUCAGACAUGGACCUGCGGCGCACUCUUUUCUCCAACAUUGUCCUCUCAGGAGGCUCCACCCUGUUCAAAGGUUUUGGUGACAGGCUCCUGAGUGAAGUGAAGAAACUAGCUCCGAAAGAUGUGAAGAUCAGGAUAUCUGCACCUCAGGAGAGACUGUAUUCCACGUGGAUUGGAGGCUCCAUCCUUGCCUCCCUGGACACCUUUAAGAAGAUGUGGGUCUCCAAGAAGGAAUAUGAGGAAGACGGUGCCCGAUCCAUCCACAGAAAAACCUUCUAAUGUCGGGACAUCAUCUUCACCUCUCUCUGAAGUUAACUCCACUUUAAAACUCGCUUUCUUGAGUCGGAGUGUUUGCGAGGAACUGCCUGUGUGUGAGUGCGUGUGUGGAUAUGAGUGUGUGCGCACAUGCGAGUGCCGUGUGGCCCUGGGACCCUGGGCCCAGAAAGGACGAUGAACUACCCGCAGUGGUGACGGCCUGAGGCCUGGGGUUGACCACUAACUGGCUCCUGACAGGGAAGAGUGCUGGCAGAGGCUGUGCUCCCCCCUCAGGUGGCCUCUGGCUGACUGUGGGGGACUCCGUUUACUACCACAGGGAGACAGAGGGAGGUAAGCCAUCCCCCGGGAGACCUUGCUGCUGACCAUCCUAGGCUGGGCUGGCCCCACCCUCACCCCCACCCCCAGGGUGCCCUGAAGUCCCAGGCAGCUGCUGCCUCCACUAUCGAUGCCUCCUGACUGCACACUGAGGACUGGGGCUGGGGUUGAGUUCUGUCUGGUUUUGUUGCCAUUUUAGUUUGGGAGGCUGGAAAAGCACCCCAAGAGCUAUUACAGAGACUGGAGUCAGGAGAGAGCAGGAGGCCCUCAUGUUCACCAGGGAACAGGACCACACCGGCCACUGGAGGAGGGCAGGAGCAGUCCUCCCUCUGAAUGGCUGCAGAGUUAAUGUUCUCAGCCCAGUCCCCUUUCGGGGGCCUUGGGAGAGUUUAAGGCACCUGCUGGUUCCAGGUCCUCUCUUUCCAUCUGUUCUUGUUGCAAUGCCAUCUUCAAACAGUUUUAUUUAUUGAAGUGUUUGUUCAGUUAGGGGCUGGAGAGAGGGAGCUCGCUGCCUCCUGCCUUGCUACACUAAUGUUUACAGCACCUAAGCUUAGCCUCCAGGGCCCCACCUCUCCCAGCUGAUGGUGAGCUGACAGUGUCCACAGGUUGCAGGACCACUUGAGAUUGGAAGCUACACUCAAAGACACUCCCACCAGGCUCUUUCUCCCUUUUCCUCUUGCUCACUGCCCUGGAAUCAACAGGCUGGUUGCUGGUUAGAUUUUCUGAAAAAGGAGGUAAAAUUUUUCUUUGGCAGAGACCCCUAAGCAAGGGAGGGGUGUUGGAGAGCCAGUGCCCUUAAGACUGGAGAAAGCUGCAAUUUACCAAGUUGCCUUUUGCCACUGUAGCUGACCAGGGGACUAGGUUGUAGAGGUGGGAAGGCCCCCUCUGGGGUGAUCUUGUGCCAUUCUUGACCUUGGACCUGCUUGGUUAAGGAGGUAGUGGGCCAGACCAGAGUGCCAGGAGCUAAUGGAGCCAGGCCUGACUCCUAGGAGUGGUCCAAAGGCCUUCAGCCUAGAUGGUGCAAAGCUGGGGCCAGCCUGUCUUCACCGGCACCCUCACCUGUGACACCAAGACCCACCCCAAUCCCAGACUUUACACAGUAUUCUCCCCCACGCCGUCCUAUGACCAAAGGCCCCUGCCAGGUGUGGGCCACAGCAGCAGGUAUGUGUGAAAGCAAUGUAGCGCCCCGCGGACUGCAGUGCGCUUAACCAACUCACCUCCCUUCUCUUAGCCCAAGCCUGUCCCUCGCACAGCCUCGCACAAACCACAUUGCCUGGUGGGGCCCAGUGUACUGAAAUAAAGUCGUUCCGAUAGACACGUC